CGAAAAUAAAAUGUGCAAACU
rnacentral:piRNA from 1 species